rnacentral:rRNA from 1 species
CUAUGGCUUAACCAUAGAACUGCAUUUGAAACUACUAUUCUAGAGUGUGGGAGAGGUAGGUGGAAUUCUUGGUGUAGGGGUAAAAUCCGUAGAGAUCAAGAGGAAUACUCAUUGCGAAGGCGACCUGCUGGAACAUUACUGACGCUGAUUGCGCGAAAGCGUGGGGAGCAAACAGGAUUAGAUACCCUGGUAGUCCACGCCCUAAACGAUGGAUGCUAGUUGUUGGAGGGCUUAGUCUCUCCAGUAAUGCAGCUAACGCAUUAAGCAUCCCGCCUGGGGAGUACGGUCGCAAGAUUAAAACUCAAAGGAAUAGACGGGGACCCGCACAAGCGGUGGAGCAUGUGGUUUAAUUCGAAGAUACACGAAGAACCUUACCUAGGCUUGACAUUGAGAGAAUCCGCUAGAAAUAGUGGAGUGUCUGGCUUGCCAGACCUUGAAAACAGGUGCUGCACGGCUGUCGUCAGCUCGUGUCGUGAGAUGUUGGGUUAAGUCCCGCAACGAGCGCAACCCCCUUUCUUAGUUGCUAACAGGUCAUGCUGAGAACUCUAAGGAUACUGCCUCCGUAAGGAGGAGGAAGGUGGGGACGACGUCAAGUCAUCAUGGCCCUUACGCCUAGGGCUACACACGUGCUACAAUGGGGUGCACAAAGAGAAGCAAUACUGCGAAGUGGAGCCAAUCUUCAAAACACCUCUCAGUUCGGAUUGUAGGCUGCAACUCGCCUGCAUGAAGCUGGAAUCGCUAGUAAUCGCAAAUCAGCCAUGUUGCGGUGAAUACGUUCCCGGGUCUUGUACUCACCGCCCGUCACACCAUGGGAGUUGUGUUUGCCUUAAGUCAGGAUGCUAAAUUGGCUACUGCCCACGGCACACACAGCGACUGGGGUGAAGUCGUAACAAGGUAACCGUAGUGAACC